GCAGCGGGGUCUGAACAAGACUAUUAUGCGGAAACAACAUUUAUUCGUUCUUGAAAGGAAUGUGUCAUGAGGACCUACUGCACGCUCACAGGUUGGCAUUUCAGCGUUUCAAGGUCUUUUGCCUGUGGGUAUGGUGGGAACAGGUGAAGGAGCUGUGCUGAUGCCGUUGAAGGCAUAUUCUCAAGAUGCUGAUGUGAUUCCUCAACACGAUAUCAAUGAGAAAAUGACCAAGAGCAGGAGGAAGAAGAGGACGAAAUGGCAGUUUCUCAGAGCCUUUUCCCCA